rnacentral:rRNA from 1 species
GGGGAGUACGGUCGCAAGACCGAAACUCAAAGGAAUUGACGGGGGCCUGCACAAGCGGUGGAGCAUGUGAUUUAAUUCGAUACAACACGCAAAACCUUACCAGCCCUUGACAUAUGAACAACAAAACCUGUCCUUAACAGGAUGGUACUGACUUUCAUACAGGUGCUGCAUGGCUGUCGUCAGCUCGUGUCGUGAGAUGUUUGGUCAAGUCCUAUAACGAGCGAAACCCUCGUUUUGUGUUGCUGAGACAUGCGCCUAAGGAGAAAUUGCCACCGAGUGACGUGCCAGCGCUACUACUUGAUUGAGUGCCAGCACGUAGCUGUGCUUUCAGCAAGAAUUUCACCAUUGGGAGCCGGUGCCUUUCGAAGCACUUUCACGUGUGAACCGAAGUCGUCUUGCCCAAGACCCACGGAGACCUACCUAUAGUGACGUCAAAGUACCAGUGAGCAUGGAGAUUUGGUUGAAAUUGGUUACGACGACGUCGAGUUGGCGGCGGAGGAAGACUCGGCAUGAAGGCCAGAAAAUGGUGUGGAACGUAGUGGUAAUAGUACGCGCCCCGCUCCGAAACAAAGAAAAAGGUGCGUGCCGCACUCACGAGGGAUUGCCAGUGAGAUACUGGAGGAAGGUGGGGAUGACGUCAAGUCCGCAUGGCCCUUAUGGGCUGGGCCACACACGUGCUACAAUGGCAAUGACAAUGGGAAGCAAGGCUGUAAGGCGGAGCGAAUCCGAAAAGAUUGCCUCAGUUCGGAUUGUUCUCUGCAACUCGGGAACAUGAAGUUGAAAUCGCUAGUAAUUGCGGAUCAGCAUGCCGCGGUGAAUAUGUACCCGGGCCCUGUACACACCGCCGGUCACACCCUGGGAAUUGGUUUCGCCCGAAGCAUCGGACCAAUGAUCACCCAUGACUUCUGUGUACCACUAGUGCCACAAAGGCCUUUGGUGGUCUUAUUGGCGCAUACCACGGUGGGGUCUUCGACUGGGGUGAAGUCGUAACAAGGUAGCCGUAGGGGAACCUGUGGCUG